CUGUGACUUCAAGGAGAACUUCUAUCAGACAUUCACAAAUUGAGGUGCACUGAAGAGUAAUGCAAUGACUCAAAAUGUGAAGUGGAAAUGGCGCUGUUGAAGUGGUUUACCGGCGCACGUGACCGUGGAGGGGAGAGGGCUGCAAGAGCCCAAAGAGAAAAAGGAGCGUCCACCACACAGACGCUGAAAAGACUCUUGCCAUCCCAUUCCCUUUCAACUCCGUUCCACUUUUUCAAGGAGGCUUUUGCUAUCUGCUGCCUGACCACGCCCACCUCACCUGUUGCCUAUAAAUUGAUUGUGAACCCUUUGGCUCAUUCUUUGCUCACUCUGCCGGCACUCCAAUGCAACCUGUCACACAGUAACUGCAAUGAAUCCACGUCACUCUGAAUGAUAAAUAAAAUACCACUGGUGCUGCAUUGAA